GGGCCGGUAGCUCAGUCAGGCAGAGCGUCUGGCUUUUAACGUGGCCGCCCGGUUGAACGGGAGGUUGCGGAAGUGACCAGACGGUCGGGGGUUCAACUCCCUCCCGGCCCG
rnacentral:tRNA from 1 species